rnacentral:tRNA from 1 species
GUAGGUGUAGUUCAGUGGUAGAAUGUGUACUUAGUGCACCCAAAGCUCUGGGUUCAACCCUCAGCACCAAAA